rnacentral:lncRNA from 1 species
ACGGCAUUCUCUGCCGAUGAUUAAACUCACGCUUUCGAGCAAAAAAUAAAAUCUUGGAAAAUUUGUAUCUGCCUUCACGAGCUUAAUAUACUAAUACUUACAGAUUUUUCUGGUGAGACUGAUUACUCGUGAUACUAAGUAAUGUGAUUUUUUUUAAUUUUUAUUUUAUUUUAAGUUCUGGGAUAUAUGUGCUGAAUACGCAAGUUUGUUAUAUAGGUAUAAAUGUGCUGUGCAGAAGCUCUUUAGUUUAAUUAGAUCCCAUUUGUCAAUUUUGGCUUUUGUUGCAAUUGCUUUUAUUCAUUAAGUGUUUACCUAUGCCUAUGCCUAUGUCCUGAAUGUUAUUGACAACAGAAAAUGAUUUUCACAUUCUGCAGGCAAGAAGGUGGACCUACGUCUUGGCUGGGCUG